rnacentral:rRNA from 1 species
UACGUAGGCAGCAAGCGUUGUUCGGAGUUACUGGGCGUAAAGGGUGUGUAGGCGGUUGGAUAAGUGUGGUGUGAAAUCUCCCGGCUCAACUGGGAGGGUGCGCCGAAUACUGAAUGACUUGGAGUGCGGGAGAGGAAAGUGGAAUUCCUGGUGUAGCGGUGAAAUGCGCAGAUAUCAGGAAGAACACCCGUGGCUAAGGCGGCUCUCUAGUACGGUACUGACGCUGAGACGCGAAAGCGUGGGGAGCGAACAGG